AAUGAACGCUGGCGGCGUGCCUAACACAUGCAAGUCGUACGAGAAAUCCCGAGCUUGCUUGGGAGAGUAAAGUGGCGCACGGGUGAGUAACGCGUGGGUAACCCACCUUCGAAUCUGGGAUAACUCCGCGAAAGUGGUGCUAAUACCGGAUAAGACCACAUUCCGUUUGCGGAAAGAGGUAAAAGCUGACCUCUCCAUGGAAGUUAGCGUUCGAAGACGGGCCCGCGUCCUAUCAGCUUGUUGGUGGGGUAAUGGCCUACCAAGGCAGCGACGGGUAGCUGGUCUGAGAGGAUGAUCAGCCACACUGGAACUGGAACACGGUCCAGACUCCUACGGGAGGCAGCAGUGAGGAAUUUUGCGCAAUGGGGGAAACCCUGACGCAGCAACGCCGCGUGGGUGAAGAAGGCUUUCGGGUCGUAAAGCCCUGUCAGGUGGGAAGAAACUCUUCAGUACUAAUAAUGCUGAAGUCUGACGGUACCACCAGAGGAAGCACCGGCCAACUCCGUG
rnacentral:rRNA from 1 species